UGGCGAAUGAACGGGGAAAAGCUCAGCAAAGAAAUCAGGGACCCCGGCCUUGAGUUGUGGACUUGAGAGGUAUUGCCAAUGGUGGCGCAGGUGCGGGCCUCUUGGAAAAGGGCACCACAGAGGGUGUGAGUCCUGUUUGUCAUCUGUAGUCCGCCAUGUACGGCAUGAUUCCUCAGAGUCACGUUCCUUGGAAUUGGAGCGCGAAGGUGGUGGUGGCUUUCAUCUCAAGCUAAGUAUGGGUUCGAGACCGAUAGCAAACAAGUACCAUGAGGGAAGAUUGAAAAGAGCUUUGGAAAGAGAGUUAAAAGUGCCCGAACUUGCUGAUAGGGAAGCGAAGGGAGCUGACGUUGCUUGGUGACAUAUUCCGCGCAAGAGUAGGAUGGGUUCUGAUUGCAAUCUGCGUAGUGCUUCUUGCCGUGCGUGUCGAUGCCAAGCAAUGAGUGGGGAGAGCACCAGGGAUAAUGAUUGUUUCUGUCCCCGGGUGGACGAAGGUGCCUGGUCGCAUCCAUUUGU
rnacentral:rRNA from 1 species